rnacentral:rRNA from 1 species
CACGUAGGGGGCAAGCGUUGUCCGGAUUUAUUGGGCGUAAAGAGCUCGUAGGUGGUUCGGUAAGUCGGGUGUUAAACCCCCAGGCUCAACCUGGGGACGCCACUCGAUACUGCUGUGACUUGAGUCCGGUAGGGGAGCGUGGAAUUCCUGGUGUAGCGGUGAAAUGCGUAGAGAUGUGGAGGAACACCGAUGGCGAAGGCAGCCUUCUGGGCCAACACUGACGCUCAUGCACGAAAGCGUGGGGAGCAAACAGG